rnacentral:lncRNA from 1 species
AGAGAAGAGGCGUGCCCUAGCAAAUCUGUGGAUUCGAUGAGAAAGAAGAAUAAAUUUUCUCCAGAGUAAUGCUAUGGUCACACCCAUUAACGCACUCUUUUUAACACACUAUUUUUUAUUGGUCCACAUCAUCACUUUAUUUAAAUCACUUACCUAAUAACCUGUUGAGCCUGUAGAGAGAAAAAAAAACAAAAGAGAGACAGAGAAUUUCUUGCUUUAUAAUUCGCGUAACAAAAAAUAAUUUUUUUAGUUGAAACAAAAAAAAAAGUCAUUCUCAAUCUUUGUGAGUUGUGACCGUCUCUAUUAAACCCAGAUCUGAGAAUCAAAGAAAACUAACUGAUUGUGCUGAACAACCCAGAGAGAUGCUGCUGCUUCUUUUCAUAUUUGGAGAGGAUGGUACAUUAAAAAUGGGUUCUUUCUUUCAUUGCAUUCAUUUAUUCUUUCUUUCUCCAAUCUCCUUCUCUCCAUCAUUAGCACAACCCCACAAAUGGUUCUUUGAAUUUCAUCAUUUCUUCAUCUCUGCAACAACCUCAUACAAAUUUGACUUCUUCUCAAACUAUAUGUGUUUUGCUACUUCAACAUCAAAACGAUUUUUUGAAAACUUCGAAUGCUAUAAUCUCUCCAUAGUGAAAAGAUCUAACAACCUUGUCGUCGCUUCUCACAAUUUCAGCGAGCUUGAUGAUGAAGGCGGAACAGUGAUUUUGGGGCGGUGAGGAAAAAGCUUAGUGGAGAGAGAAGACGACGUUAAUUAGAACACUAUUUUUUUUUAUAAUAAAAAAUAGCAUAGCCGGUUGCAGGUAGAUAGAUGUUUUAACAUGAAUGACGUGGACCAAUAGUUGGUCAAGUGUUCAAAAGCGUUUGUUAGAGCGAGUGUCGCUAGCAGUGCUCU